rnacentral:rRNA from 1 species
AGAGUUUGAUCCUGGCUCAGAACGAACGCUGGCGGCGUGGAUAAGACAUGCAAGUCGGACGGGAUUUCGUCCUGUAGCAAUACGGGAAGAAGUCUAGUGGCGAACGGGUGCUUAACACGUGGGCAAUUUGUCUUAAAGUGGGGGAUAGCUCGGCGAAAGCCGAAUUAAUACCGCAUGUGAUUAGAGUGGACAUCCAUUCAAAAUUAAAGUCGGGGCAACCUGACGCUUUUUGAGGAGCCCGCGGCCUAUCAGCUAGUUGGUGAGGUAACGGCUCACCAAGGCUUUGACGGGUAGCUGGUCUGAGAGGACGACCAGCCACACUGGGACUGAGACACGGCCCAGACACCUACGGGUGGCAGCAGUCGAGAAUUUUUCUCAAUGGGGGAAACCCUGAAGGAGCGACGCCGCGUGGAGGAUGAAGGUCUUCGGAUUGUAAACUCCUGUCAUUGGGGAACAAUGCGUGACGGUUAACUGCCGUCGCGUUGAUAGUACCCGAAGAGGAAGAGACGGCUAACUCUGUGCCAGCAGCCGCGGUAAUACAGAGGUCUCAAGCGUUGUUCGGAUUCAUUGGGCGUAAAGGGUGCGUAGGCGGCGCGGUAAGUCGGGUGUGAAAUCUCGGAGCUUAACUCCGAAACUGCAUUCGAUACUGCCGUGCUCGAGGACUGGAGAGGAGACUGGAAUUUACGGUGUAGCGGUGAAAUGCGUAGAUAUCGUAAGGAAGACCAGUGGCGAAGGCGGGUCUCUGGACAGUUCCUGACGCUGAGGCACGAAGGUCAGGGGAGCAAACGGGAUUAGAUACCCCCGUAGUCC